rnacentral:rRNA from 1 species
GACGAACGCUGGCGGCGUGCUUAACACAUGCAAGUCGAACGGAAAGGCCCAGCUUUUGUGGGGUGCUCGAGUGGCGAACGGGUGAGUAACACGUGAGUAACCUGCCCUUGACUUUGGGAUAACUUCAGGAAACUGGGGCUAAUACCGGAUAGGAGCUCCUGCUGCAUGGUGGGGGAUGGAAAGUUUCGGCGGUUGGGGAUGGACUCGCGGCUUAUCAGCUUGUUGGUGGGGUAGUGGCUUACCAAGGCUUUGACGGGUAGCCGGCCUGAGAGGGUGACCGGCCACAUUGGGACUGAGAUACGGCCCAGACUCCUACGGGAGGCAGCAGUGGGGAAUAUUGCACAAUGGGCGGAAGCCUGAUGCAGCAACGCCGCGUGCGGGAUGACGGCCUUCGGGUUGUAAACCGCUUUCGCCUGUGACGAAGCGUGAGUGACGGUAAUGGGUAAAGAAGCACCGGCUAACUACGUG